rnacentral:rRNA from 1 species
GAUGAACGCUGGCGGCGUGCCUAAUACAUGCAAGUCGAACGCUUCACUUCGGUGAAGAGUGGCGAACGGGUGCGUAAUACAUAAGUAACCUGGCAUCUACAGGGGGAUAACUGAUGGAAACGUCAGCUAAGACCGCAUAGGUGUAGAGAUCGCAUGAACUCUAUAUGAAAAGUGCUACGGGACUGGUAGAUGAUGGACUUAUGGCGCAUUAGCUUGUUGGUAGGGUAACGGCCUACCAAGGCGACGAUGCGUAGCCGACCUGAGAGGGUGACCGGCCACACUGGGACUGAGACACGGCCCAGACUCCUACGGGAGGCAGCAGUAGGGAAUUUUCGGCAAUGGGGGAAACCCUGACCGAGCAACGCCGCGUGAAGGAAGAAGUAAUUCGGUAUGUAAACUUCUGUCAUAGAGGAAGAACGGUGGAUAUAGGGAAUGAUAUCCAAGUGACGGUACUCUAUAAGAAAGCCACGGCUAACUACGUG